rnacentral:rRNA from 1 species
GACGAACGCUGGCGGCGUGCUUAACACAUGCAAGUCGAACGGAAAGGCCCUGCUUUUGUGGGGUGCUCGAGUGGCGAACGGGUGAGUAACACGUGAGUAACCUGCCCUUGACUUUGGGAUAACUUCAGGAAACUGGGGCUAAUACCGGAUAGGAGCUCCUGCUGCAUGGUGGGGGUUGGAAAGUUUCGGUGGUUGGGGAUGGACUCGCGGGUUAUCAGCUUGUUGGUGGGGUAGUGGCUUACCAAGCCUUUGACGGGUAGCCGGCCUGAGAGGGUGACCGGCCACAUUGGGACUGAGAUACGGCCCAGACUCCUACGGGAGGCAGCGGUGGGGAGUAUUGCACAAUGGGCGGAAGCCUGAUGCAGCAACGCCGCGUGCGGGAUGACGGCCUUCGGGUUGUAAACCGCUUUCGCCUGUGACGAAGCGUGAGUGACGGUAAUGGGUAAAGAAGCACCGGCUAACUACGUG